UACGUAGGGUGCGAGCGUUAAUCGGAAUUACUGGGCGUAAAGCGUGCGCAGGCGGUUCUCCAAGUCCGUUGUGAAAGCCCCGGGCUCAACCUGGGAAUGGCAGUGGAAACUAGGGGACUGGAAUCUGGCAGAGGGGGGUGGAAUGCCGCGUGUAGCAGUGAAAUGCGUAGAGAUGCGGCGGAACACCGAUGGCGAAGGCAGCCCCCUGGGCUGAGAUUGACGCUCAGGCACGAAAGCGUGGGGAGCAAACAGGG
rnacentral:rRNA from 1 species